AGAGACCUAGAUGAAAGGAAAAAAAUGACUGUGAUCAGAUUAUUCAGCUCCCCCUACAGAUGGCCUGAAAAAGCCCAAAGGCUCUCACCSCACAUGGAGACACUAACAACUAAAUGAACUUUGGCUAAACAGUACCGAUGACACAUUAAUGCUACCGUAGCUCCAUUCUCAUUCUGCAUUCUGCACAGUGUUUUGUGAUCUGUCUUUGAUGGACAUAGCAAACAUCUCAAGAGGGUCCUCCACAGAUUUCUAGAAUAUGGUAAAGAAAAAAUACACAUUUUUGGAUAAUUCCCCAACAAGGAAGGACUCCCAAACUACUUAAAAUGAAAGAUCUUGAAAGUGCAAGAAAGAAGCAUGGAACCAAUGAACUACUGCAAAUGCUGCAGACAGUUUGGAGUUUGUUCUGGCCAUGUGGAAAACAUAAGCCAAGAAGGCUGUCAAAAAGGAGCAUCUGAGG
rnacentral:lncRNA from 1 species